GCCUUACUGAGCUCCAAAAUAAAAAACAUAGUUCUACCAUAUUUUUGUACAAACAAUAGGAUUACAUUUAUCCCAGCAAACGACGUGUACAUCGUGUCUAUAUUGCCAGGACCAUGUCUGUAUGUCUGCACAACAUGCAAAUCAGUUCUGCGUGUUUGCCCAAGUGGUGCUCCCGGAAGACGCGCUCACGCACCUGCUACUGCGGGUAGUGACUCACAUCCGCGAGUCUCGCUGCUUGUGAUACGUGUGAUGUGCUGCUCUUGCAAGGACCAUGUUGCAGCAAGGCAAAAGUGUGAACUCACUGAGCUAGUUAAACACACCUAAAAUGAAUUACUUGAAAAUGUUGUGAAAAAGAGGAAUGGAUCAUCUGCAAGAUUCAGGUAGCGAUGGUAGGCCGAGCAUUCCAGAUAUCCUAGCAACUACAAAUGGAAAUUACACUGAAAUAAAAGUGAGUUUUAACUGAAUGCAGCGUGAGACUGUUUAUCUGGUCCAGAAGCAGUAUAAACAAUGUCUAAACUGUGUCUGCAGUGAUAAAACGUUGAAAAGACAAGUGUAUUUAAGUCCCCCAAAAUAAUCAUUUAAUAAAAGUAAUUUUAAAAUUAUUAACAUGUAUAUUUAUUGCAUGUGUUUUUCGUCCUUUUAAAAUCAUUGUUCUCAGCCAUUGUUAAAAGAAAAAUCUUGGUAAAUGAUAGUCAUUAUAAUGAAAAGCUGCUUAGAGGAUCCCCAGAAACAGUAGAAGGAAACACAUCACGCUCGCACACCUUAUUUCUUUCGUGCUACUAAAAACACCUCGAAUAAUCCAUUUACAGUUCUGAUAUGUAUUUGUUUAGGAGGCUUUAUCUGUUCAGUCUGACUAAUGUGUUGGUAUUCUGUUACACCUGAAUAUUUGGAGCGGUUCGACGUAUUGUAUAACUCAGACGAAUUUAAUAAAUUGUUCAGAAUAUAGAUUGAUUGGCUUCAUUUUGCCGCUGCUUGGCAUCCUGUAUGGCUGUGUGGAUGGAGGAGGGACCAAGUGCAGGAGGGAAAGUGGCGCCGGAGCCAAUCAGAAACUGCGAACAUCAAACUCUCACACAUUCAAAGUAUCUCUCUUACAGACUCAAAAUCUAUCUCACGCACACUCAAAGUCUCUCUCUCUCUCUAACUCACACACACGCACACAAAGUCUCUCUCACACACUAUCAAAGUUUAGAUGUUUGAUGGUGUGUGUGAGAGAGAGUAUGAUAGUGUUUGAGAGGUAUGACGGUGCGUGAGAGAGAUAACUGGUUAUCUUCAGUAAUUAAUUACAUUUUCAUCAGUAUCCAGUAGAUCCAGGUUAAGAGCUUCAGAUAAUGUUCACAUCAAACAUAGAAUGGAGAAAAUUGUGAUCUCUGUAAUGUUAACUUUGGCAUGGAUGUUGGUGCCAUUUUCAGCAGAUACUGCUGGUCUCCUGGGAUUUUCACACACAACAGUCUCUUCUCAUUCACACACAGCAGACCCUUCUCCUGUGAGAGAAGGGUCUGCAGGCUGAAACACAUUGUUGAUAAGAGAGAUCAGAGAAGAAUGACCAGACUGGUUUGAGCAGACAGGAAGUCUAUAGUAACUCAAAUAAGCACUCUUUACUACCAUGGUGAACAGAAAAGCAUAUCAGACUGCCCAACACAUUAAACUUUGAGGACCAGAAGAAGACGACAUCAGGUUCCACUCCUGUCAACCAAGAACAGAAAUCUGAGGUUAUCAUGGGCACAGACUCACUGAAACUGGACAGCAAGAUUUUUUGCAUUGCACCGCUGCCACAUGUUAAGCUGGUUUCAUGAAUUAGCAGGGGUAUGGGUGUUCCUAGUAAAGUGACUUGGAGUGCACAUGGUGAAGGAAACAUUUGACUUUAAUUGCUAGCUUUAUUUUCUUCUGACUUCAUGACCAUUUGCUAUAGUUUUAUGUUUCUCUAUGUUACUCCAUGUUAAUUCAAUUCAAUUUUAUUUGUAUAGCACUUUUAACAAUGUACAUUGUCAUAAAGCAGCUUUACAGAAAUAAAUAUAUUCAAAUUAAAUUAAAUCAAAAAUUUUAAUUAUGUGAAUUUAUCCCUAAUGAGCAAGCCAGAGGCAAUGGUGGCAAGGAAAAUUUCCCUGAGACCAUGGUCUCAGAAUAAUGAACGAUCUCGGAACACACCAAGGUCAGAGGUGACAUACUAUCUGGUUAGGCCCGCUUCUCUCUUAUCCCCCCUCUGUACAUAACCUAGCUGCUCCAUCUUGAGGGUGAGUUGGUGAAACCUUUCUCAAGUUGUGCUUCUGUUGGUGAGAAGCUGAUCUGAAGAUACCUCAAGUGAGCAAUAAACAUCAGAGUCUGAAGAUCAACACCAGUCUCCUGCAUCCUGAUUCAUUGUUGCUGAAUUUCUAACAAUGGGAUGUGACCAAAUAAACAUGACUGAAACAUUAAAACAUUAGUGUAUCAUCAAAUUUUUAAGUAAUUUCUUUAAGUUGAAGAUGAAGAUAGGUUUUAAACAGGUUGUCUUUGAUGAAUACCAUUCAGGUCCAUUCACUGAAUGCGGGUCAUAUUGAUGCCCUUUAUGCAUAUUUUUGGUUUUGGGUCAU